GAGUUUGAUCCUGGCUCAGAUUGAACGCUGGCGGCAUGCCUUACACAUGCAAGUCGAACGGCAGCAUGAUCUAGCUUGCUAGAUUGAUGGCGAGUGGCGAACGGGUGAGUAAUACAUCGGAACGUGCCCUGUAGUGGGGAGUAACUAGUCGAAAGAAUUAGCUAAUACCGCAUACGACCUCGAGGGUGGAAAGUAGGGGGACCGGCAAGGCCUCAUACUAUAGGAGCGGCCGAUGUCUGAUUAG
rnacentral:rRNA from 1 species